GACGAACGCUGGCGGCGUGCCUAAUACAUGCCAGUAGAACGCUGAAGAGAGGAGCUUACUCUUCUUGGAUGAGUUGCGAACGGGUGAGUAACGCGUAGGUAACCUGCCUUGUAGCGGGGGAUAACUAUUGGAAACGAUAGCUAAUACCGCAUAACAAUGGAUGACACAUGUCAUUUAUUUGAAAGGGGCAAUUGCUCCACUACAAGAUGGACCUGCGUUGUAUUAGCUAGUAGGUGAGGUAAUGGCUCACCUAGGCGACGAUACAUAGCCGACCUGAGAGGGUGAUCGGCCACACUGGGACUGAGACACGGCCCAGACUCCUACGGGAGGCAGCAGUAGGGAAUCUUCGGCAAUGGGGGCAACCCUGACCGAGCAACGCCGCGUGAGUGAAGAAGGUUUUCGGAUCGUAAAGCUCUGUUGUAAGUCAAGAACGGGUGUGAGAGUGGAAAGUUCACACUGCGACGGUAGCUUACCAGAAAGGGACGGCUAACUACGUG
rnacentral:rRNA from 1 species